rnacentral:tRNA from 1 species
GAGGUCAUAUCUCAGUGGUAGAGCACUUGCUUAGCAUGCAUGAGGUCCUGGGUUCAAUCCCCAGCACCUCU